rnacentral:sRNA from 1 species
CUUUAGCCCCGAUUGAGCCGGUAUCCUCGGAGAGAUAUAGGCGAAAGCGGGAACCCAU